rnacentral:rRNA from 1 species
AGUAGUUUGAUCCGUGGCUCGAGGACGAACGCUGGCGGCGUGCCUAACACAUGCAAGUCGAACGGAGUUAAGGAGCUUGCUUCUUAACUUAGUGGCGGACGGGUGAGUAACGCGUGAGUAACCUGCCUCUGAGAGGGGAAUAACGUUCUGAAAAGAACGCUAAUACCGCAUAACAUAUAACUGCCGCAUGACAGGGAUAUCAAAGAUUUAUCGGUGAAAGAUGGAUCCGCGUCUGAUUAGCCAGUUGGCGGGGUAACGGCCCACCAAAGCGACGAUCAGUAGCCGGCCUGAGAGGGCGGACGGCCACAUUGGGACUGAGACACGGCCCAGACUCC